GAUGGACGCUGGCGGCGUGCCUAAUACAUGCAAGUCGAGCGAAGCGGUGCCGGGUGAGUAACACGUGGAUAACAUCCUUUAAGACUGGGAUAACUUCGGGAAACCGGAGCUAAACCCGGUUCUUCUAGAUGGAUCCCCGAUGCAUUAGCUAGUGGGUAAGGUAACGGCUUACCAAGGCAACGAUGCAUAGCCGAGCUGAGAGGGUGAUCGGCCACACUGGAACUGAGACACGGUCCAGACUCCUACGGGAGGCAGCAGUAGGGAAUCUUCCGCAAUGGGCGAAAGCCUGACGGAGCAACGCCGCGUGAGUGAAGAAGGUCUUCGGAUCGUAAAGCUCUGUUAUUGGGGAAGCGGUACCUAAUCAGAAAGCCACGGCUAACUACGUGCCAGCAGCCGCGGUAAUUC
rnacentral:rRNA from 1 species